CUUACCUGAGUCUUUGUUCCUCCUCUUACAGGAUUGUCUUCCGAAGUUGGCUUCUCUAAUACCCCGGUGUACCGUGUCUACUCUGUUGGAUCUCACUGAAAACACCUCGGAGAAAGACGCCGGAUUGUCAGUCCCCAUUCCUCUCCUGGAACCAGCCUCAUGCUGGAAACACAUACCGAAAAGGAUCCAGGUGACAGAGAGAGAUGCAGCUUUUUCCACAGAAUCCCACUGCCUGCCAAAAUAAGCCUCAGCAGACAGAUUCGACCUCCCCAGAACUUUCAACUCCAACAUCCGAUUGUCCUCAGAUCCCCCAAUGGCCAGCCAAACCAUUUACACUGCUUUUCAAUAAAGAGUGGUAAACCUGUCAUCCUGCCUCUGUAUCUGUGCUCAAUGUCAGAGUCUAACCGCUGAACAUCAUGACAGAACAGUCUGACCUGAGUCUGGGGCGCAUUUACAGAAUGCAAUCUCUAAUCAAGCUCAGCCCACUGUCGGUGCUGCGUUCACUGCCCCGUCGACCCCUACGCUGGCAUUAUUUUCUGAGGAAAUCGGAAAGUGGGUUUUUUGCAUUCAGUGUACCCUGGUAUUCCAAUGCUCUCAUUCAUCUUUCCAUGAAUACUCAAAAAUCUUCAGACAAACAUUCUCACCCAGUGUCAGUGUCAAGGAGGCAGCAAAGACAUUAUGGGCACUCAAACCAACAGGGUGGAAAGGUGAAGACUGAUCCCAGCAAAAUAAAAGCUGUUCAGGAGUGGCCCACGCCCACCACCAGAAAACCACUCCAACAUUUCCUCCGAUUUUUCAAGUUUUAUCACUGUUUCAUGAGAGACUUCAGCCUCAUUGCCUCUCCCCUGACAUCCCUCACCUCCAUCAAGAGAACCUUCACCUGGUCUGAUGACGACGAAAAGGCUUUUCUUAAACUUAAGGAAAACGCCUCAUCAGCACCCAUCCUUUUCCACCCAGAUCCUAAGGUCCAGAAUGUGUUGGAGGUGGAUGCAUCAGACACAGCGGUUGGAGCAGUCCUCUCACAAAGUUUAUCCUCUGAUGGUAAGCUUCAUCCCUGUGCCUUUUUCUCCAAAUGCUUCUCUCCUCCAGAGAAACUAUGAAAUAGGAGACAGAGAGCAUCUGGCCAUUAAACUGCCCCUCAAAGAAUGGAGACAUUGGCUGGAGGGCACGGAGCAACCCAUCAUUAUUUGGACCAACCACAAGAACCUCCCCUACCUUCAAUCGGCCAAACAACUUAACUCCUGUCAGUCACAUUGGUCCUUACUCUUCUCACGUUUCAACUUCACCAUCACAAACCUUCCAGAUUCUAAAAAUAUUAAACCAGAUGCUCUCUCCAGACAGUUUUCCACAGAAGAAAAUCCCCAGGAACCAGAAACCAUAGAUCAUCCAUCUUGUGUCAUUGGUGCCCUCUACUGGGACCUGGAGGACCGUGUGCUUCAAGCUCAACAGGAUGAACCAGGUCAAGGAGGGGUCCAACCAGGCCACUAUACGUCCCAUCCACCAUCCGAUCUUAGGAUAUUCAUUGAGCCCACUCCUCCAGAUUCUCUGGUCACCCUGGCUCCAGUCAAACCAUUGCCCUCCUUCAUCAGCACUUCUGGUGGCAAUCCCCAAAUAAAGAUGUGGUGGAAUCUGUGGCAGCAUGUUCCACUUGUGCCUGAAGUAAGAGCUCAUAUAGACAUCCGUCAGGCCUUCUCCACCUACUACCCAUUCCAAGCCUUUCCUGGUAUCACAUCGCACUGGAUUUUGUGACUGAUUUGCCUCCUUUCAAACAAGAUGGUCAUCCUCUCCAUCAUCAACCGCUUCUCUAAGGCUUGUCAUCUGAUUUCCCUCACCAAGCUUCCGUCUGCAGCUGAGACCACAAGACUUCUCAAUAACCUCAUCUUCAGACUCCAUGGCAUACCCACUGAAAUUGUUUCCGAUCGAGGUCCACAAUUAAUCUCAGAAGUAUGUUACUUCUGUGAUGCUCUAGGAAAAAAAUCACUUCUCUAAUCUGGUUUUCACCCUCGGACCAACAGCUUAGUCAGACACUCAAACAACCUUUGCUGCCUCUGCGCCAAUAAUCUCACAUCUCAGCAGCGUCUGGAUUAUUCCCGUUUGAAGCCUCUCUAGGUUAUCAACCUUCUCUCCUCCCAGCAUCAUUCCUGACUCGAUUUUCCCCUCCAUCAAAACCCAUUUACUCAGCUCCUAGAGGUUACUCCCCUAGAGGGGGUGGUAGGGUGAUGUCAUGGUGUGUGCAGGUUGGUGUGUGCAUGCAGCAUUGCAUUCUCUCUCCCUCUCUCCCUACAGGGUGUGACUGGCAGGUGCAGCCCCACAGGUGUCUUCCAUGAGGACUAAGUAGGAGGGUUUUUAAGGAGCUAGAACUUAUGAGGGAGGCGUCAGACCGUUGACGUCUGACCUCCCUGAUAGGCUUUGUUUUCAGAGCUGUUGAUUGUACUUUGGAUUUUUACACCAUUCCGAGUAAACUGAUGUGUCACGACACCCCUAUGGAUUAGCAGUACAGAAAUGCUUUAACUACUAACCACUCAGGGACCAGCACCCAUGUCUAUUCCAAGUCAGUGCUCAUCAUUUUAUAUAGAAUCCACCUGCUUCGACAGUCAUUGACUGACUUGUGGAUAAAUUAUUUUUUUUAUUUGUGCACACUUGCCACAUGACUGAAUAACUGAGUUGAAUACAUGUGUGCCUAAGUGGUGCUUUAAAGCUUUAAUAUAAAGCAAGAUACAAGUUUAUAUUCAACUGUAAACAGCUAGCUUCCAAACUUAUAGCUGCUUAUAAAGAACAGAACUUGUCAUGUUUAGAAGAGGAGGUGGGCGCAGGCACAGGCAAGAAAGACCUCUUGGUGAUGGCUGAUAUUACAAAGAUCAACCAAAAAAUAUUGUCUUUGUACAAUAAAACAAUUGGAAUGCAGUAAACACACGUGUCAUAUCCUCAGUGUGCAAUUUGUGUGGGAUGUUCUUUCCCUCUGCUACAGGGUGUAACUGGCAGGUGUGUCUCUCAGGUGUUGCCUCACAGGUGUGGGGGAUCAGAGUCUAAUCACCAGGGUUACUUAAGGAGCUGGAACCUGCAGGGAGGCGUCAGCUCGUUGCUUCCUCAGUGUGACUACACUCCUGGAAACCCCUGGCUCCUGUUUCUUGUCUUGUUCAAGUGGAACUCUGAAACAAGACGGAGCCGAUUCCACUGUGCAUCUCCCUAUCGUUCCUGUCUCCAGCCCUACCGCUCUGUGUACACACUUCGAGGAAAUCAAACUCCUGUUCACCUGCCUGUCCACCCUCCAACAUCACAUGCUCAAACAAGCACUAAGAGGUCAGCAUGCACUGCCAGUAUAAUCAAAGACAUCUUGUUGGAUUAUGGGAAGAAACCAGAUUACCUGUUAAAAAUCCAGAGAACGUGCCAACUCCACAAAUAGCCUGGGUCUAUCAAGACUGAAAGUGAAGACCUUGUUUGUUUGAGGCGGUAGUGUUAAUCACCACUCUUCAUCCCUGCUUUCUUGUGU